UUGGAACGUUAACCCUAACCUCCCUCAACAUACUCAGCCGUACCCCCACCCACUUUCUCCCUAAACACACACACACGCUUUUCCCCUUUCUCAAACACAACGCAGCAAUAGUAGGAAAGAAACAAAGAAAAGAGAACCAGAGAAAAAAGGAACAGAGCUGCGAUCAGAAGAGAGGAUGAGCCACAUUGCUGCCGUCGUCCAGCUCAUCGCCUCCGUCGCGUCUUCCCUGCGCCGUCAUUCACGUUCAUUGUUGUCCAGCCGUUCGUUGCCGUUGAGGAGAAGCUGCCGUCGUCGCUGUUUUGAAGGGAGCCGUAGUCAUCGCCGUCGAGCAUGAAGGGUGUUGGAGAGAGAGAGCUCGCGUCCGAGACUGAAGAGGAGACGUGGUCUGCGCUGCUUUCUUUAUCACGAUUGGUCCGCCACUGCCACUGCUAGGGUUCGUCACCAAACCACCGUGCCGCCGUAGCUAUCUCCAGGAAGGUCGUUGGAGCUUGCUGAGGAUAUUGUUCUGGUUCUGAAGCAAUUCAUCCAUGUCAGUGCUCAUUUUUAUCCCCUGUUCUGCCUUUGCCUCUGGGUUCUGUGAGUUUCCAGAGCCCUCUGCCACCGGGGACCAAUAUUCAAGCUGCCCAGGAAACCAUCAUUAGAACCACUACUGUUUUGGUAGCUGCCGGCUCUAUUUGGAGACUGCUGCUAAGUCACCAUCGAAGCUAAGAACAGGUUCUGGGAUCUGAUGGAGCACCGCUACUGCUGUGGAUUCGUAAUAUUGGGUUUGCCGCAUCUAAAUUCUUCAAUUACGACUAAUUAAGUGACACAGGUUCGAAGACUCAGUUUGAAGUUGUGGGCGAUUAUUGACUUUACUUACAAGUUAAGUUACUUUCGUAGAGUUCCCUCGCUUGUUGCUUAAAAUUUUUUAUUUUAUACAGAGGGAUAGGUAUUGUAUUUGAGCUUUGCUUUGAUUUACUUGUAUAAGAUUUAUUAUUAUUAGUAAUUAUGUGAUUAUCAUUA